rnacentral:lncRNA from 1 species
CAUGGGGGUGUCCCUGUCUCACUGUCCCCAUGUGGGUGUCCCUGUGUUGGCAUCCCCGUGUCACUGUCCCCACGUGGGUGUCCCCGUGUCAUUGUCCCCAUCUGGGUGUCCCCAUGUCACUGUCCCCAUCUGGGUGUCCCCAUGUCACUGUCCCCAUGUGGGUGUCCCUGUCUCAAUGUCCCCGUGUCACUGUCCCCAUGUGGAUGUCCCCAUGUGGGUGUCCCUGUGUCACUGUCCCCAUCUGGGUGUCACCAUCUGGGUGUCCCCAUCUAGGUGUCCCCGUGUCAGUGUCCCCAUGCAGGUGUCCCCGUGUCACUGUCCCCACGUGGGUGUCCCCAGUGUCCCCAUCUCAGUGUCCCCAUGUCACUGUCCCCAUGCCGCUGUCACUGUGCAGGUGUUCCCAUCUCAAUGUCCCCAUGGGGGUGUCCCCGUGUCACUGUCCCCAGGUCAGUGUCACUGCCUGGGUGUCCCCAUCUUAGUGUCCCCAUGCAGGUGUCCCCGUGUCAGUGUCCCCAUGUCACUGUCACUGUGCAGGUGUCCCUAUGUCACUGUCCCCACGUGGGUUUCCCCAUCUCAGUGUCCCCAUGUCACUGUCCCCAUGUCGCUGUCACUGUGCAGGCGUCCCCAUCUCAAUGUCCCCAUGCAGGUGUCCCUGUGUCACUGUCCCCAUGCGGGUGUCCCCAUCUCAAUGUCCCUGUGUAGGUGUCCCCAUGUCACUGUCUCCACGUAGGUGUCCCCAUAUGGGUGUCCCUGUCUCAAUGUCCCCAUGUCACUGUCCCCGUGUCACUGUCCCCA